rnacentral:tRNA from 1 species
AUCUGAGUAGUUUAAGAAAAACUUCUCAUUUUCGUUGAGGCAAAGAAUUAUAUAAAAUUCCUUAGAUU